UACGAGAGGUGCAAGCGUUAUUCGGAAUAAUUGGGCGUAAAGGGCGCGUAGGCGGUAAUAUGAGUGUGGUGUGAAAGCCCCGGGCUUAACCUGGGAAUUGCACUGGUGACUGCACGGCUAGAGUGUGUCAGAGGGGGGUAGAAUUCCACGUGUAGCAGUGAAAUGCGUAGAGAUGUGGAGGAAUACCGAUGGCGAAGGCAGCCCCCUGGGAUAACACUGACGCUCAUGCGCGAAAGCGUGGGGAGCGAACAGG
rnacentral:rRNA from 1 species